rnacentral:rRNA from 1 species
AUACGGAGGAUGCAAGCGUUAUCCGGAUUUAUUGGGUUUAAAGGGUGCGUAGGCGGUUUGCUAAGCGGGAGGUGAAAUGCCGGCGCUCAACGUCGGAAGUGCCUCCCGAACUGGUGGACUUGAAUGACUCUGCCGUGGGAGGAAUGUGUAGUGUAGCGGUGAAAUGCUUAGAGAUUACACAGAACACCGAUUGCGAAGGCAUCUCACGAAGGGUUGAUUGACGCGGAGGCACGAAAGCGUGGGGAUCAAACAGGAUUAGAUACCCUAGUAGUCCACGCAGUAAACGAUGAUGGCUAACCGCUGGGCUUAUCAGUUCAGUGGCCAAGCGAAAGCGAUAAGCCAUCCACCUGGGGAGUACGACCGCAAGGUUGAAACUCAAAUGAAUUGACGGGG